GCGGAUAUGGUUUAGUGGUAGAACACGUCCUUGCCAAGGACGAGAUCGGGGUUCGAUUCCCCGUAUCCGCACUA
rnacentral:tRNA from 2 species